AUCUUUUUAGUUUUUACCUUAACGUUCUGAGUUCUAAGUUCUAACACGCUAAUCCAAAAGCACACUUGAUAAUUGAUACUGUGACAGUAUGGAGAAGAAGAAGAAGAACGAGAUUUGCAGAAUGAAAGCGCCUUCCUCUGUUCAUUCUACUCCGUAGUAGCAAAGCCAUAACAGUGCGAGUCCGUGACAAAACUCAGUGGGAGGAGAAGGUGAAGGUUUAAGAAAAGUAAUGUGUGCUUGCUUGCUCGAGAUGCAUGCUAAGGUGCAAGUUUCUACAUUUGGCCAUGCAGUUUCUUGAAGCUGUUCACCAGACAAGGUUCAUUUUUUUAUAAACCUUGUAUAUAUACUAACUUCCAGUUAGAUGUUUAUAUUGUCUCAAGUUACCAUGUUUUUGCAUUGUGUCUUCCUGAAACUGAAGUUGCAAUUAUCAUUUCAUUGUUUUGUGUCAGUGAAAAAUGUUGGUAUUGAUGUAAUAUUAAGCACGCACUAUUGAAUAACUUACUUCAAAAAUUUAUAUUUUACUGAUUCAGUUGUUAAAAGCAUAAUACAAUAGACAAGAAAGCUUUCUAAAUCUGAAUAACAAAACAAGCAUCGAAGAGGAAUACAAAAGAAAUUCCAGCACUAAAUUAAUAACCAUCCAUACAAAAGGUUAACAAAUAGAAUGCAGACUUUCAAAGAAAGGCCUUAGUUCAACUUGAGGGAAGAACCCAAGAAGCUCAUAACCAAUCUUCUAAUUAUCCUAGAAGGCUCAUCCCCAAGUACCAAUAGAAAAAGAGCAGCUUCAAAGGAUCAUUGCCAUUCACCACCAUCUUACUUUUGGUUCUAAGAGAAGCAUUAGAAAAAAGUAGAGAGAAAGAAAGUGUGAGUCAACACACAAGUGAUUAAAUAAUGGAAUGAGUGAAUAUUUUUCAUUUUAUACUUCUGUGAUCUAUCUAUCCAUCAAAAAGUUAAAGUUAGAAGUUAAGAAUUUAUAUUAUAAUGCAUUUCUGUACAAAACAUUGAAAUAACAAAAAGUUUAAGUAUACAAAUUAUUUUUGGGGUAAUAUUUAGGUUAAAUAUAUAUAAUUCUAUAGGGUCUAUAGAUCAUUUUGUUUUAGAAAUAACAAAUAAGUAUUCAUAAAGUUCUAUACAAAACAAAAGGACUCCAAGUGUUAAUGAUGACCAAUUAACUAAACCUCUUUACAAUCAUCACCUGAUGCAGCAUAGCUGGUCUCUCUAUUUUUUCACUCUAAGAAAUAUAGACUAUUGAGAAUAGAGUAGCUUCUAGUCAUUGAAAUGCCUAAUUUUCUUAUAGAUAGCAAAUCAGAUUUCAAACCUUUUCUAUCCAUGCCCCUCGUCUUUUAUAAUGAAGUUGCCACUUUUAAUUUCUACUAGGUGAUUGGUUGCUGGAACACCUUUUGUUGCAAGAUACACAAAGUAAUGAUUAUUAAGUAUUUGUAUUGAUUAGCUGGCUCCAACCAUACUCCCAAACUAGAAAAUUAAAGGCAAAAAAUAAAAAAUAAAAAAGAAGAAACUGCAAGAAGGCAACCGAGGGUCAAUGAGUAAUUCUGCCAAUGAUCCAACUUCAAAGUUGUCGUCCUGUGCUAUUUUAGGAGGAGAAAACAGAACAACUGAUAAUUAAGCUGAUUGUUGUUUGUGAGGAAUGUGAACCAUGCAUCUUCUGUCUUUUUUCUUUUGGACUUCUUUUAUGUUUUACUUGUGUUAUUUGAACUCCUUUUAUAUAUAAUAUAUGCUGCUUGUUGUGCUAACAUGAAAUAAUUAUGGACAUAAAUUGAAUGUGCUUCUUUAUUGCUAGUACUCUUAUUGCAAACACAGCAACGAACAUGGUAGAAUACAAAAAUGCCACAAUUAAUAUAAAGGCAAUCAAACAUGGCCAUAAUAGACUAUGCACAAAUAAAUUAAAGAUAUUACUAAAAGCGGACUGUACUCCUCAAUUUCACUUGGCAUUUACAUUUAAAAUCAUGCUUCCUCAUUU